rnacentral:rRNA from 1 species
GUCCACGCCCUAAACGAUGUCAACUAGGUGUUGGAUGGGUAAACCAUUUAGUACCGGAGCUAACGCGUGAAGUUGACCGCCUGGGGAGUACGGCCGCAAGGUUAAAACUCAAAGGAAUUGACGGGGACCCGCACAAGCGGUGGAUGAUGUGGAUUAAUUCGAUGCAACGCGAAAACCUUACCUACCCUUGACAUGUCCAGGAUCCCGGAGAGAUUUGGGAGUGCCCGAAAGGGAACUGGAACACAGGUGCUGCAUGGCUGUCGU